AGCAGCCGCGGUAAUUCCAGCUCCAAUAGCGUAUAUUAAAGUUGUUGCAGUUAAAAAGCUCGUAGUUGAAUUUCGGGGUCAGUAGGUCGGUCGUGCCACUGGUAUGAACUGGUUUUACUGAUUCCUCCCUCUUGAAGAACUGUAAUGCCAUUAAUUUGAUGUUGCAGGGAAUCAGGACUGUUACUUUGAAAAAAUUAGAGUGUUUAAAGCAGGCUUUAGCUUGAAUACAUUAGCAUGGAAUAAUGAAAUAGGACGUUUGAUCCUAUUUUGUUGGUUUCUAGGAUUGACGUAAUGAUUAAUAGGGAUAGUUGGGGGCAUUAGUAUUCAAUUGUCAGAGGUGAAAUUCUUGGAUUUAUUGAAGACUAACUACUGCGAAAGCAUUUGCCAAGGAUGUUUUCAUUAAUCAAGAACGAAAGUUAGGGGAUCGAAGACGAUCAGAUACCGUCGUAG
rnacentral:rRNA from 1 species